UAACAAAGAGAAGCAAAGCCGCGAGGUAGAGCAAAUCUCAAAAAAAACAUCUCAGUUCAGACUGCAGGCUGCAACUCGCCUGCACGAAGUCGGAAUUGCUAGUAAUCGUAGGUCAGCAUACUACGGUGAAUACGUUCCCGGGCCUUGUACACACCGCCCGUCAAACCAUGAGAGUUGGCAACACCCGAAGUCGGUAGUCUAACCGCAAGGAGGACGCCGCCGAAGGUGGGGUUGAUGAUUAGGGUUAAGUCGUAACAAGGUACC
rnacentral:rRNA from 1 species